UACGGAGGGUGCAAGCAUUAAUCGGAUUUAUUGGGCGUAAAGGGCGCGUAGGCCGGAACGUAAGUCAAGUGUGAAAUCCCGGAGCUCAACUCCGGAACGGCACUUGAAACUACAUUUCUAGAGGGUAGGCGGAGAAAAUGGAAUUCCACGUGUAGCGGUGAAAUGCGUAGAGAUGUGGAAGAACACCAGUGGCGAAAGCGGUUUUCUAGCUUAUUCCUGACGCUGAGGCGCGAAAGCAAGGGGAGCAAACAGG
rnacentral:rRNA from 1 species